UAUGAGUUUGAUCCUGGCUCAGGACGAAACGCUGGCGGCGUGCCUAAUACAUGCAAGUCGAGCGGACAGAAGGGAGCUUGCUCCCGGAUGUUAGCGGCGGACGGGUGAGUAACACGUGGGUAACCUGCCUGUAAGACUGGGAUAACUCCGGGAAACCGGAGCUAAUACCGGAUAGUUCCUUGAACCGCAUGGUUCAAGGAUGAAAGACGGUUUCGGCUGUCACUUACAGAUGGACCCGCGGCGCAUUAGCUAGUUGGUGGGGUAAUGGCUCACCAAGGCGACGAUGCGUAGCCGACCUGAGAGGGUGAUCGGCCACACUGGGACUGAGACACGGCCCAGACUCCUACGGGAGGCAGCAGUAGGGAAUCUUCCGCAAUGGACGAAAGUCUGACGGAGCAACGCCGCGUGAGUGAUGAAGGUUUUCGGAUCGUAAAGCUCUGUUGUUAGGGAAGAACAAGUGCGAGAGUAACUGCUCGCACCUUGACGGUACCUAACCAGAAAGCCACGGCUAACUACGUGCCAGCAGCCGCGGUAAUACGUAGGUGGCAAGUAACGUUGUCCGGGAUUAUUGGGCGUAAAGGGCUCGCAGGCGGUUUCUUAAGUCUGAUGUGAAAGCCCCCGGCUCAACCGGGGAGGGUCAUUGGAAACUGGGAAACUUGAGUGCAGAAGAGGAGAGUGGAAUUCCACGUGUAGCGGUGAAAUGCGUAGAGAUGUGGAGGAACACCAGUGGCGAAGGCGACUCUCUGGUCUGUAACUGACGCUGAGGAUGCGAAAGCGUUUGGAGCGAACAGGAUUAGAUACCCUGGUAGUCCACGCCGUAAACGAUGAGUGCUAAGUGUUAGGGGGUUUCCGCCCCUUAGUGCUGCAGCUAACGCAUUAACCACUCCGCCUGGGGAGUACGGUCGCAAGACUGAAACUCAAAGGAAUUGACGGGGGCCCGCACAAGCGGUGGAGCAUGUGGUUUAAUUCGAAGCAGCGCGAAUAACCUUACCAGGUCUUGACAUCCUCUGACAAACCUAGAGAUAGGGCUUUCCCUUCGGGGACAGAUGGACGGCCGGUGCAUGGUGUGCCCUCAGUUCGUGUCGUGAGAUGUUGGGUCAAGUCCCGCAGAACCUUCCCCUUUGUUUCUUACCACGUCCUAUUGGGGUGUUCAAUAUAAUGCCUUUCUUUUUACAAGAAAGAAG
rnacentral:rRNA from 1 species